UACAGAGACUGCAAGCGUUAUUCGGAUUCACUGGGCGUAAAGGGUGCGCAGGCGGCCAAGUGUGUCAGGUGUGAAAUCCCGAGGCUUAACCUCGGAACUGCGCCUGAAGCUACUUGGCUAGAGUACUGGAGAGGGUAACGGAAUUCACGGUGUAGCAGUGAAAUGCGUAGAUAUCGUGAGGAACACCAGAGGCGAAGGCGGUUACCUGGACAGUUACUGACGCUCAGGCACGAAAGCGUGGGGAGCAAAAGGG
rnacentral:rRNA from 1 species